AUGAAUGGUCUUGUCCAUUGCCCCCUACCCCAUGGCCUCGUGGGCGAUCUGCACUCAGACGUCACCGAAAAGUUCAGCCCUGCAGGGCCUUGUGCUGCUCAUCCUGGUCUGCUGCAAUAUAAUCACCCGCUGCUCUCUGUGUUAUGCCUAGGUCAACUUCCAGCAGCCAGCUGAUGCUGAGAGAGCCUUGGACACCAUGAAAUUUGACGUGAUUAAGGGAAAGCCAAUCCGCAUCAUGUGGUCUCAGAGGGAUCCCUUUUUGAGAAAGACUGGGUGUGGGAAAUUGUCUUCAUCAAGAACCUGGACAAAUCUAUAGACAAGGCACUGUAUGACACUUUCUCUGCCUUUGAAAACAUCUUGUCCUGUGAGAUGUAUGAUGCAUAUGAUGAGAACUGCUCUGAGGGCUUUUGUCCACUUCGAGACCCAAGACGCCACUAACAAGGCCAUCGAGAAGAUUAACCGCAUGCUCCUCCAUGACCACAAAGUUUGUGGGCAGAUUCAAGUCUGGCAAAGACUGAAGCUGAUCUUGGGGCCAAGGCCAAGGAAUUCACCAAUGUUUUAUCAAAAACUUUGGAGAAGAAUGUGAAAGAGCUCUUCAGCCAGUUUGGUAAGACCCUGAGUGUCAAGGUGAUGAGAGACUCCAGUGGGAAGUCCAAAGGCUUUGGCUUUGUAAGUUACGAGAAACACAAGGAUGCCAAUAAGGCUGUGGAAGAAAUGAAUGGAAAAGAGAUGAGCGGGAAAGUUCUAUUUGUAGGCCGUGCACAAAAAACCAGUAGAACGUCAGGCUGAAUUAAAACGGAAAUUUGAACAGUUGAAGCAGGAGAGGAUUAGUCGGUACCAGGGAGUAAAUCUCUACAUUAAGAACUUGGAUGACACCACUGAUUAAGGAAAGAGUUUUCUCCUUUUGGAUCAAUCACCAGUGCAAAGGUGAAUGCAAGAAGAUGGAAGAAGCAAAGGGUUUGGCUUUGUCUGUUUCUCUCCUGAAGAGGCAACCGAAGCUUAUCACCGAGAUGAACGACGCCUUGUGGGCUCCAAGCCGCUGAAUGUCUCCCUGGCCCAAAGGAAGGAAGAGCUGAGGGUUCACCUGACUAACCAGUAUUUGCAGCUUGUGGCUGGGAUGAGAGCAUUCCCUGCCAAUGCCAUCUUAAAUCGGCUCCAGCCUGUAGCUGGUGGCUACUUUGUGCCCACAGUUCUGCAGGCACAGGGAAGACCUUCAUGUUACCCAGGCCUAAUCAGUUAGCACAGAUGAGGCCUAAUCCACACUGUUAGCAAGAUUGGAGACCUCAAGGCUUCCAAGGAAUGCCAAGUGCUCUGCUACAGACUGAGCCUUGUCCAGCUCUUCUACAUCUGGAUCCAACUGGUAAUGCUCCCGGCCUUCCUACUACUGCUCAGAGAGUCGGCGGCGUGGCGUCCCUACAGCUGUGCUAAACUUUGCACCUCUUGCUACAGUUGGUGCCACUGCCCCCAGGACUGUGGCUCCAUACAAGUUGGCCUCCAGUGUCUGCAGCCCUCACCCUGCCAUUCAUCAGCUGCAGGGCCCCCAGGCUGCAAUCCAUGGCUUCUUGUUGGCUGCAGCGUCCCUCCCCGCCACGCUUCCAGCAGAAGCAGACGCUGGGGGAGCGUCUGUUCCCACUUAUCCAAACAAUGCAUUCAAACCUGGCUGGAAAAAUUACAGGAAUGCUGCUGGAAAUCGACAACUCUGAGCUGCUGCACGUGCUGGAGUCCCCCGAAUCCCUCCGUUCCAAGGUGGAUGAAGCUGUGGCAGUCCUGCAGGCUCGUCAUGCCAAGACAGAAGCUGCCCAGAAGGUGGGCAGUGUUGCUGCUGCUACCCCUUAGACAAGAAAAAAAGAGUCAAAAAACCCAAAUGACCCCUCAUGGCAUCCAGCUAAAGUCUGAAGACAUCCUAGUUUGUCUGUGGAUCUCCAUACCAAGAACCAAGUUUUUAAUUCAAUAGGUCAUUUUGUAUCAAAACGUCAAUGAUGAAGCACCUAGAAUUUUUCAAUUAUAAGAAUAUAUUCUCUGGGUUCUGUUGUGGCCCAGAUGAUAACUUUUUUUUCUAUUGUGGGUUCUGUUUGUUUUCCCCAUCCCAAAAAUUGGUUUUGAUGUACCCAAGACUUAAGUAUCUCAAUAAAGAAAAUAAAAAUCUCAAAAAAAGGUA